GUGGGGAAUAUUGGACAAUGGGCGCAAGCCUGAUCCAGCCAUGCCGCGUGAGUGAUGAAGGCCUUCGGGUUGUAAAGCUCUUUAGCCGAUGAUUAUAAUGACUGUAGUCGGAAAAUAAGCCCCGGCUAACUUCGUGCCAGCAGCCGCGGUAAUACGAAGGGGGCGAGCGUUAUUCGGAAUCACUGGGCGUAAAGCGUGCGUAGGCGGUUUUGUAAGUUAGGAGUGAAAGCCCAGGGCUCAACCCUGGAAUUGCUCUUAAAACUACAAGGCUAGAAUGUCGGAGAGGAUAGCGGAAUUUCCAGUGUAGCAGUGAAAUGCGUAGAUAUUGGAAGGAACACCAGUGGCGUAAGCGGCUAUCUGGACGACUAUUGACGCUGAGGCACGAAAGCGUGGGGAUCAAACAGGAUUAGAAACCCUAGUAGUCC
rnacentral:rRNA from 1 species